CCAAAAAGGCACCGACUGAUGGCGUAUGAUUUGUCGAGCAACUCGCGUCGCUUACCUUUUUGGUUUCCCACCUCCGCCUUGUUGUUUCUGUUUUGCUCGAUUGCUCCCUCCCUCCGGAUCCCUAAUCUGCAACGACGCGAAGAGGAGGAACAGCGCGGAGGAGGAGGAGGAGGAGUGAGAUGGAGGAGAAGUAUCUGGACCUGGUGUUGGUUCCGCUGGGCCUUCUGCUUCAGGCGGCGUUCCACACCUGGCUUUUCUUCACCGUCGAGAACGAUCCCGAUCGCACCGUCAUCGGCCUCAACAAGAAGGUCCGGCAGCACUGGGUUGAUACCAUGAUGAAGGAUCCGGUGAAGAACGGCGUUCUGGCGGUGCAGACCGUGCGCAACAACAUCAUGGCGUCGACCUUCCUGGCGACCACCGCCAUCACCCUCGCUUCCGUCAUCUCCGUCUUCGUCAGCGCCACCACCUCCUCCUCCUCCGACUCCGCCCUCGUCUACGGCAACACCUCCGGCGUCGCGCACUCCGUCAAAUUCUUCGCCAUCUCCCUCUGCUUCCUCUUCGCCUUCCUCUGCCACGUCCAGUCGAUCCGCCACUACGCCCACGUCAGCUUCCUGCUCACCCACGCGGCCACCGCCGACGAGGUCGACGUGGAAUCGGUCUACGUCGGGUGGAGCUUGAACCGGGGGAGCCUCUUCUGGUCCUUGGGCCUUCGGGCCUUCUACGUCUCUUUCACCCUCUUCCUCUGGAUUUUUGGGCCCAUCCCCAUGUUGGCCAGCAGCGUCGUAAUCUGCGCCAUCUUGUUCUUCCUGGACUUCACCAGCGCCUUCACCAGGAAGUACCAUCAGCCCGUCAUCGUCAAGCAUGAAAUCCUUAGCCAGUCUGCAAGUCACAGAGUUGAUGUAUGAUCCAAGAUCACGGUUUGCACUCUCAUGAUUUUUGAUCGUGUCAAAAGUUGAUUUUUUAUUUAUGGUUUAAAUGUAUAAUAAUGGAGGUGUUCAAAUAUGAGUCUUUUUUACUAUUUGCAUUUCUAAGUUGUGUUGUCCUAAUUUAUGUGGCCGGAGAUAGAAAGUGGAUCCAACCACCUCCACCAGUCUCCAUCCAGAGGAUAAUGAAGCAAGCAAAGUGGUGUGAGAUCGCAAAGGAUAUCCAUGGACAAGAAGAAGUAGUGUCUUCCAGGUCAGAACCAACACAAUCUUUAUCUCCUUGGCUUAGCCUUACAUUAUUGUUAAAUAUUAGUGUAAGUAGAUCAAAUCUUCUUGUUAGAUCCAACAGACCAACACAUUUAUUCUCUGAACCAUUCUACUUUGCAAAUCUGGCAUUGCCUAAUAGUAAACACAAGGGAUGGUGUUGCCUGCAUCUUAGCUAUUGCAUAAUCUUGAUUCGAUUCAAAUUAUCUGUAGGAAAUCUAGUUACAAUUGUAGAAAAAACUUUUGCUAAGCUUUUAGUUCGAUAUCUGGGAGUCAAUACUGCCUGUAAAUUUAAAUUUGCUGCAGUUGAUGAGUAGCAUCAUGUCUCACCAAUGAAUUUGUUUUGAUAUUUGUUAUAGUGCGACACAGAGAGGCAUCCCCAGUAUUUUUUUAUCAUUUGGACAGCCGACUGCUAGAUAAAAUAUACUAGAAAUAGGUCAACUUUUGACCUAACUACCACAUGCCAUCUCUCCUCAUCUUUCAUUUAACCCAACCUGUCAUCAGCCACUAGAUAGAGGCCCCUCGAUGGAGCACUCCACUUCAAAGCCCCUCUCCUUCUUUCUACUUCUUGCACUACUCUUCUCAGCUUUGAUGACCUCUCACAGCACAAGAUUCCCAAACCCCUAUCAUCAUCCUAACAACGGUGGACAUGGUGAGGUGAUCAGUAGAUGGUUAGUCAGGAAGAGGUCUGCCAGGGAGUCACUGCUAACGCCACCUUCUCCAGAAGCCAAUACAAGCCCCCCUGGAGAACCUUGAGACGUGCAUGCCAUGAAGGGAUUAUCUGCUAACUCGCCUCAUUUGGCUUCGAUCCCUUUUUAUCGGUUCAUGUUUCACCUCUCUUUGCAAAGAUAUAUAUCUUUAAUGGUUUUUCCAGCGCUGGAAAUAAUCUCAUAAGUUGGUUUAGUAUUCUCAUUGUUUUACCAAA